GUCUUACUCGGGAACGAUCGCGGGUGUGCCGAUCAAUCAGGACGACCUGGGGUCGUCUACUAUGCUGACUGAUCGCCUAUUUCCAUCGUGAUGCGUCCAUUCUGCGUGCGCUUGAGAUGCCAAAGAAAAAAUUAUACUUAUACAAAAGCUGUGACAAUACUUCGGUUGACUGAGCGAGGUCAUCAUGCGCAUGAAUCGGCUACGUGUAAUCGGACAGGAAGACGAUCGCACCUGCACACGCGUGCGGGACAUCAAAGGCAACCCGUGCGGAUGUAAUAAAUCGACGUCACAUCGAUUCUUAACGUGCGAUAAUGAAAUCAUUGUACCAUAUUUAUACUUUGACCUGGUGGUCACCUGGUUGUCAGACGUGCCACGGAAGUAAAUUAUCAGAUGUAUACCGAAUAUGUAUGUGGAUCUUCGUAAAUGUAAAGCUCGUGUAAACUUUACUUUUUCUUCUUAUAAUAUGCAAAUAUAUUCCUAAUAGUCUAUUCAAGGCGUAUCAAUGAAAAGACUCGUCGAAAAUGUAACCCGAAGUAUGUUUAGAUAAAAU